GCGGGUAUAGCUCAGCAGUAGAGCACAUGCUUGGCGUGCACAAGGUCCUGGGUCCAAUCCCCAGUGCCUCCA
rnacentral:tRNA from 1 species